GAAGAAUUAGUUAACUUAUAACAUUAGAUUGUCAAACUAAAAUUAUCAAUUAUUGAUAUUCUUCU
rnacentral:tRNA from 1 species